ACGGUCAACUGUGCACUCUUUGGG
rnacentral:siRNA from 1 species